UUUUUAGGACUGUGUAUUACGGA
rnacentral:siRNA from 1 species